AUGGGGGAAGAAAUUAAAGCUGCUACAACUAGACAGAGUCAGAAGCUGCUCAGAAGUGGUAGUCCUGAAUGUUCCCAAGGAAGCUGCUGUGGCUUGGUUAUGAGAUGCCGGAACUUGCUCUUCCCGCCAUCUUGGCACUUGUGGAGGCAAGAGAAGCUCCUGCUGCUGAAAUUAGGAGGCCUGCUGGGAACAGGACUUAUAAAAGGAACUACAUCUGGAAGGCUAUGGUCCAAGGCUAUUUUUGCUGGCUAUAAGCGGGGUCUCCGGAACCAAAGGGAGCACACAGCUCUUCUUAAAAUUGAAGGUGUUUAUGCCAGAGAUGAAAUGGAAUUCUAUUUGGGCAAGAGAUGUGCUUAUGUAUACAAAGCAAAGAACAACACAGUGACUCCUGGUGGCAAACCAAACAAAACCAGAGUAAUCUGGGGAAAGGUAACUCGGGCCCAUGGAAACAGUGACAUGGUUCGUGCCAAAUUCCGAAGCAACCUUCCUGCUAAGGCCACUGGACACAGAAUCUGAGUGAUGCUGUACCCCUCCAGUAUUUAG